AUUUCUACAGAUAAGGGAGCAUAUUAAGUGUAUUGCUGUAUGAUAAAUGUUUUCAAGAUUAGAGCCUGGUCUGUUUCUGUCAUCCAGCCACGAAGAAGAUGAGAUUAUGGAAAAUGAUCAGUAUCACUCCUCUAAGAGCACUGCAGAAAGAUAAGUGCCUCCUAUAUUUUCUAGGUGUUUGUCAGUUCCUCAUACAAAGAAAUUUGUUCCAUCUCCCAGGAGAGUCACAGCUAAUCUAGGAUCUGCUAAUUCAUGUGUUUAUUCAUAAGGGGCCCAUAUCACGUACAUCCCCCAACGAAGCUGCUACUUGGCAAGGCAAUUAAUUGAAUACCUGACUUGGAGCAGUGAAUAGCAGAUUAGCUGACGAGGGUUUAAAUGCAUGUGUUUCAGCAUCUCCCUGAGUUAAAGCCUGAACAUGGAGUCCUGGGCUGGAGUUCAUUUUGUCCAAAAGCUGUAUGCCGAUCCUGCUGUGAUGAUGCUUUCAUCAACAGCUCUUCCCCACCGGAAAAAUCAGGCAGUUGAUGAAAAAAUCAAGGACUCGCAUCUAUGGUAGAUGGGUUUUUCCGUGAAGCUGAAUUAGGAUUAUGAAAGCCUCUGACAAAUGACAAAAGAAUAACUACUAACCACAAUCAGAACUAACUAGAAAUUGCACCUCUUUGACUUAGGUUUUCUACAACUAUCCUUCCAUGUAGAUUUAGUCUUUGUGUCAUUGUGUGUUUAAUAGAAAACAAUCUGCAAAUGAUUAAUUUUUUUUUUUUUUUUGCCAGAACUGUAUCUAUCUGAAAAGAAGGUUUACUCCAAAUCAAAACAUUUUGACAAAGAUUUCUUAACGUGCAAUUUCAGUAAGUAAAAAAUACUCAAAACCUACAUUUGAAAGAAGAAACCAAGAAAGCCUUUUCUGCAAGUCCCUGGCAAUCCUUAAACUACUUCAUGAAUUCUACAGGGAAACUGAAGGUCCAAUUUGUACGGUGCUGCAUGACACUAGCACGCACUUGCCAGGGAUCGGAACCGGUUUUAAAGUAAGCCAUCCAGAGGUCAGAAGCAGUCAGUGGGACAGCCUCUGGUGGUGCCUCUUGGUGCUGUUCUCCAGCAAGCUCCAGCAAACUGCUUUCCUGCCGACAUCAGCCUUUAGCAGGGAAACGUGCUUGCUGAUACUUGGCUCACUGCCUGGCAAAGCCACUUUUAGUCACUGAGGCUGCCUCUGCCAACUCCCGUGAGCUGACACUUACGUGGCGGUGUUCCCUUUGAGGAUGCACUGUGAAAAGCUGGCUGCAAAGUCAUUAAUGCUUCUAACUGCUGCUCCAGAUUUCUCAUGUCUCUGUAGGUCUGGCGUGACACCUAUACUGCUGGGGUGUCCACAUUAAAUACUCAGCUACUGCAGCAUUGUUGUCUUCUAUUGUGAAAGAACAUUUACCAAGGGAGUUUCAAAAUCUAUACGCUGUCUUGAUCAGGAGCAGUGUCUUCACACUGGUGCUUGUGUAUGCCUAUCACGAUUUUUGUAGUGGAAUAACUCACAAAACAAGACUUGACUAGCGCUAAACCACAAUGGGUGCAGCAGGUAUUAUUUAACAGUAAAGGGACUUCUGUUGCUGCAUCAGUGCAUGACGCAUGACACAGGGGUGCAUAGAAGAUCACGUCUUUUUCAAGAUACUGAGGAACCAAGGGCAACAGUCUGAAACUCAUGGGUUGAGAUGAACUUACCAGCUGCCUGGCACCCUGACUGGUGAUGGGGGGUGUUAAGAGAGGAGCACUCCCCAGCUGUUGGUGAAAUGCUUAUGUGUGAAAUCAUUAGCAUAUAAAUAAACGCUCGUUUAGCUGUUUUGUAGCA
rnacentral:lncRNA from 1 species